AACAAACGCUGGCGGCGUGCUUAAUACAUGCAAGUCGAACGGGGAAAGCUUUCGGGCGAGUACUAGUGGCGCACGGGUGAGGAACACGUGGAUAAUCUGCCUUGGAGAGGGGGAUAACUAGUCGGAAGAUUAGCUAAUACCGCAUAAGACCACAGGAACUGAGGUUCUAGGGGUCAAAGGUUUUUCGCUCCAAGAUGAGUCCGCGUAAGAUUAGCUAGUUGGUGAGGUAAUGGCUCACCAAGGCGACGAUCUUUAACUGGUCUGAGAGGAUGAUCAGUCACACUGGAACUGAGACACGGUCCAGACUCCUACGGGAGGCAGCAGUAGGGAAUAUUGCACAAUGGAGGAAACUCUGAUGCAGCGACGCCGCGUGAGUGAUGAAGGCCUUCGGGUCGUAAAGCUCUGUCGCAGGGGAAUAAAAAAAUGAAGGUACCCUGCAAGAAAGGAUCGGCUAACUUCGUGCCAGCCGCCGCGGUAA
rnacentral:rRNA from 1 species